rnacentral:misc_RNA from 1 species
GUGAAUUAAACAUGCUUGGUGUCUUCGCUUCGGCAAGGCCCUUGCUUAAAUCACAUCCUAACACCUGUGAACUGUAAGACGUAUGAUGAGGUCUUUGGCCAAGUCAUCGUCUGCCCAUUUUUAACAAACAAUUAAUGUAACGAAACGUAGUCUUAUUAUAACCUAAUA